GUUGGGCUCGAUACCUAAGUAUCUACAUGCUAUAAAAAAGUAAACGAGCAUCCUCCAGGCGUUGGGCACUAAUUGCCCCGGGCACAUGGAGUGCUCGACUAAUAGAGCAAUAAAGAAGGGGUGAAGGGGCCACCUAAAGCCAGCCUUAAGGGUCUCCCUAAAAAUAACAAACUCCCCUCGUCGUGCUCGAAUAAUCCUAUCCUCGGGGUCAGGAAAUCUAACAUCACAAUUAGGCAUUAUACCAUAUUCCCUAGCCGCAGCUAUAACUGAGUGCUCUUUAAGCCUACAGGGCUCGUCGGGAUACUCAAAAACCAUAUUAACCUGGGCCUCGGGAGUAGCCUCUAGGGGAAUAGCCGUCGGUAUUAUCGAGGUCCCUACGUCCUCACUACUGCUAGAACUGCUAGAAGAUUCUCGACCCUCACUACUCGACAUCACUUAAGAAACUUAAGACCUAGCUUAUGAAUAACUUAGAGUCUCGAGCCUUACCUGGAAUUCCCGACGACUUGAGAAGUUCCCAAAAGUGUUUUUCUCGAGCACGACCUCGCAAAACUCUGAUUUACAGUGGGUAAAAGUGAAAAAUGAAGGUGAGAACAAUAGUAUUUAUAGGUGAAAAUGAUGGGAGGCCAAAGGUCGCUAUCUACGACCGUCCACGAAGACACGUGUCACAAAUCCAAGCCACUCUCUGCAACGGUCAUAUCUCGACCUAUAUCAUCAGCCAUCACUUCUCGACAAAUGCUCGAGGAAUGACAUAACCCAUUUGCACCCCAUCCUAAGAGCUCGAUCUCUAGGACGAGUGCACGGGGGCCAGUGACUAUGCCAAUAUUGAUACACCCGAGGCAUUUAUUCCCGAGGACUCAAUACAUACCCCCACCUCAUUUCUCUUCUUCAGUCCUCGAGGUCAUCUAAGUCCUCGAGAUAUUGUAGUCCUCGGGAUACCUCGAGGACACUUUUACAUUCCCUCAAUGUCCUCGAGAAAUAGUCCUCGAGACAUACACCACCAACAUACCUCCUAAGACCUGGGUACCUAACUAACAAACCUAAACACCCAAGGAUUCCACGUCAACCCUAACACCACUUGUCAAACAAUUCCAUUACAAGUAGGACAUUCUUUAUAAUAGAAAUUCCCUUGGAUAAAAACAUCCAACCAACACAAUCCUACUAGGAGUACACUACCUACUCCUAUAAAAGCAGAACCUUGGGCCAUUAUUCAGGUACGUUUUCUCAUUGUUCUUCAGCAUAUAGCCUCACGCAUAUAUUUCCCUUUCUGACUUAAGCAUCGGAGGGGCGACGAGAACACACCUCGUUGCCUUUGUUUCAGGUAUCGGAAGAUCACGUUCGUGCUCAUCAUCAGUCAUCAAGCUCGGAAAAUCUACAGGUACGAUUUUUGGUAGCAUCAACUACCAAACGGGGUCUAAGUAUGAAUAUCAUUCUUGCAAGUUUUCUUAAUUCAUUUUUUACAAGUUGGCUUAAAUGUUAAUUUUGAGGGAACAACUAUUGCCGCUCCAAAUUUGGGAGACCACAAAAUAAGAUACCUUAUUAGAAGAAGAAGGGCCAAUGCUCGAAUUAGAUUGCCUAAUUUUUUUAAGAGACUUUAUUGCAAGAAAAAUUCUUCUUGGGAUAUGGAGAAGAAGUAUUACUAGGAGAAUCAUUAAAACCCUAUGAAAUAAAUUAAAAAGAAACAGAAUCAUAAUUUAUCUCAAAAGUUUAAAUAUUGUUAAUAAGUUCAAGAAAUGUGAAUUAAAGGCUAGAACCUGAAGAAAUUUUGGGCAUCCUAGUCAGCAAAAAUGGUACAAAGUUAUCACAAAAUUCUUGGAGGGAAAAACAAAGAGAGAGCUACUAUAGCAGUUGUGCUUGUGGAGGUAUCAAGAACAUGGGUUUGUUGUCACUGGCAAAAAAUGUCACAUUUUCAUACAAGGAUUCUCUUUCCGCUUUCUUUAAUUGAGAUGAUGCUCCACUACACCACCUCCUCACACACAAUACCGUUGAAUUUUUUUGAUACAAAACUCUUCCUCAAAUAGCAAUGUAUUGGAGGUACAAGAGGAGACAAAAAGCUUACAGCUUCUUUCUCUCUGCAUUUUCUUUAGUUUGUGGGUGUUUCUCUCUCAAGCACAUUUCACAGCUGAGAGUUCCAUAUAUUUCUUUAAUAGCCUAUUCGACGAGGUUAUUACAUUCUUAUCUUUAAAGUAAAUGCAUCCACUUUAUAUAGGGAAUGUAUAUUUCGAACAUAAGUAAAAAAAAAAAAGGCUUCAGUGUCUAAGAAAAAUAAAAGAUGAAGAGAAGGGCGCAUUGACAAUGUGAAAUUGGAUAUCAACAUACAGACAUUGAAGAGAAAAUCUCAACGUUUUGUUCAAUUGGAAGGUAUCUAUGUAAUACCUCAAACUUUUCUUACUAUUUUUCAUAUGGAGCCUAAACUUAAUAUUGGUAAUUUAGCAAGUGGAAUGGUCCAUGUCAAGCCAUGUUGACACACUAAGGUCCCAAGAAGUUGAAGUGAUAUACGUGACUCACUUCUUUGCAUAAAUUAUCUAUUUUGUUUACGUGAAAAAUUUAUCGUGAGUUAUUUUGGGUCAAAUAUUUAAGUAUUUUAAAAGUCGAUAAAAAUAUAUUGAUAUUAUACUCAUUUUGUAACUCGUGCUAAAUAACAUAAAUUGGCUAAAAAAGAAAUCAUUUUGGACUAGUCAUAUUCAAGUUAUCUAAGAUCAGGAGAAAGAUAUUCUAAAUCCUAUAUUUUAUUAAUAAAAUAUAUGCAUAUAAUAAUUUUAUAUAUCUAAAAUAGUCAAAUAAAAGAAUGGAGGUUUUGGAAUUUGAAGCACAACGUCAAUCGCUUUUUUAAUUAAUAUAUUCAAUUAUUAUUUUCAUCCUUCCCAUCAUUGAUUGGCACCAUAUUUUGAAAUAAAGAAUAUGUUAAAUAACCUAUUGAAUUCUCAAAGUGUGGUGGUUUGUAUUCUAAGUGAAUAUUAUAUAUAAAAAGGUGUGAGAAAUAUUGUUUUUGUUCUCAUUACACGUGAACACGCAUAUUAAAAAGAGACAUUAUUUUAUUCACAAGCCUUUUUCAAAUUUAUUUAGUAGCAAAUCAAUGUAAGAAAACAUGGUGCAAAUGGUAAAUUCUCAUUCCUUGAUAUUUAUGUAAAUUUGACAUAAAAUACUAUAAGGUCUUUAGGUCGAAUUCUAUAUUAAAUCCUCCGAGAUGGACCGUUAGGUCGAAGAUGUUAAAUCCUAUGGGAUGGACCGUUUGGUCAAUAUGUUAUAUCCUACUCGAUAUGGGGAUUCUUAAGAAAUUCCUUGAACUCUAAAUCUAAAAAGCGUUGACAUGUUAUGUCAGUUUUAUAUUUAUAUUAUGUGAAUAAGAAUGUGUAUGUAUUUUUAUAGGGUGUUUUCAAAAUACUCAAUCUUACUACAAAUUUUCAAAUUAGAACGGGUCGUGUGGAAGAUUGACUGAGUAAUGCUUAUGGGGCCGCCAAGUAAAUUUUCUAGAAAAGAUCAUCGUCAAACUUUAUUUGAAGAACAUCUUCAUAUUGAAUUUUAUACACAUUGUUUAAUAGCUAUUUUUAUUCAUUUUCAACACUUAAUGAAAGUAAUAUUUCUGCUUAAAUUAGAUAAAGAAGAUGUUGGUAACACCUCGAGCUAUUUUUAUUUAAAAAUAAUAAUGAAAAUGAAAAAGAUUUUGGAGUGUUACAAUCUACAUCUAACUACAAGAGGAAAUAUAUUAGUAACACAUUGUUAGACAUUAUGUUGUCAAACGAUCUCCCGGGCGAUGAUGAGAACCAAUUUUAUCAGUCGACAUGAAUGACUGAACGAUAAUUCAACAUCGAAUAAUGGAUGAACCGACCAAACGUUGCCUUACCUAUUGGACGGCUAAUACUCUUUGUGGUUUGUUGAUUCUUUCCAUUGGAAGUUAACCCUAGUCGAGCCUACUUACCAUAUCCUUACUUACCUUAUGUUGGCCACUUGACUUACUAUAUAUAUUGGUGUUUUCAUCCUAAUUGAAGUCGGUCCAUUAGUUGAAGCCGUCCAUUGAACCCGUGAGCUCCAAAGAGAGACUGCCAUGUCCUUCUGCCUUCUUCUUCUUCGUGAUUUCUUCUCCAUGCCAAUUGCUUGAGCCUUUGUGACUCUUACCUGUGUGGUAUCCAUCCUAAGUGUGUGGAUUGAAUCAACAAAGCAAGAGAGGAAAGCAACCAUAGGAGAGGGUAGCGCCGGCGAGUUGGUGACUUUGGUUUUGAUGUUGAAUUCGAUGUUUAAUGGUUAACUGAGCCCAGAAAUCACCGUGAGCAGCAAGAGGAAGGUCCUAACACACAUUCUUAAAGAUGUUAUUUCCGCCUUCUGUUGUGACUUGUGUCAGUUUUUUCAUUUAUGUAGGCUUCUUUUUUUCGUUAACUAUACGUAU
rnacentral:lncRNA from 1 species